rnacentral:lncRNA from 1 species
UCGGAUAUUAUAUAUUUUUGAACGAAAUUCGAAUCGGACCCUUCCGGGUCCAUGUAGGUUUGUAGGAAUCUAAAAAUAUACAAAUAAUUUAUGGAUUUAGAAAUGUCAUUUAAAAAUCUGUGUGGAUCAAGCUCUAGUUUUAUACUUAUCAGUAAAUGUAUUUUAUUGGUAAGAUUAGAAGACUGCAUUGCCGACAAGGAGGUUUCUUAUAACAAUAGCAGGCAUGUUGUCUUUAGUUUUUCCGACAAGGAGGUUUAAUAUAACAAGUGCAGUCAUGAUAGUGUUUCUUUCGAAAAAUGGUGUUCACACAGUCGCAACGCUCGAAUGUUACUAUUGACACCUUCCUUUCAUCCUGACACUUCUUGUUUCCAUCAGGGCCGCAUUUUCC